UACGUAGGGUGCGAGCGUUGUCCGGAAUUACUGGGCGUAAAGAGCUCGUAGGUGGUUUGUCGCGUUGUUCGUGAAAUCCCACGGCUUAACUGUGGGCGUGCGGGCGAUACGGGCAGACUGGAGUACUGCAGGGGAGACUGGAAUUCCCGGUGUAGCGGUGAAAUGCGCAGAUAUCGGGAGGAACACCAGUAGCGAAGGCGGCACUCUGGGCCGGUACUGACGCUGAGGAGCGAAAGCGUGGGUAGCAAACAGG
rnacentral:rRNA from 1 species